AGAACGAACGCUGGCGGCAUGCCUAAUACAUGCAAGUCGAACGAACACUUCGGUGUUAGUGGCGCACGGGUGCGUAACGCGUGGGAAUCUGCCCUUGGGUUCGGAAUAACAGUUGGAAACGACUGCUAAUACCGGAUGAUAUCGAAAGAUCAAAGAUUUAUCGCCCAGGGAUGAGCCCGCGUAGGAUUAGCUAGUUGGUGAGGUAAAGGCUCACCAAGGCGACGAUCCUUAGCUGGUCUGAGAGGAUGAUCAGCCACACUGGGACUGAGACACGGCCCAGACUCCUACGGGAGGCAGCAGUAGGGAAUAUUGGACAAUGGGCGCAAGCCUGAUCCAGCAAUGCCGCGUGAGUGAUGAAGGCCUUAGGAUUGUAAAGCUCUUUUACCCGAGAUGAUAAUGACAGUAUCGGAGAAUAAGCCCCGGCUAACUCCGUGCCAGCAGCCGC
rnacentral:rRNA from 1 species